rnacentral:rRNA from 1 species
UCUCGUUGAUCCUGCGAGAGAUUGCCGCUAUUAGGAUUCGAUUAAGCCAUGCAAGUCAGAGGGACUCGAAAGGGUCCCAGGCACAACGCUCAGUAACACGUUGGCAACCUAACCUUAAGUCUGGGAUAACCUUGGGAAACUGAGGACAAAACCGGAUGGGAGAUCAAUACUGGAAUGUUUUUUCUCCAAAAGGCAACGCUUAAGGAUGGGCCAGCGGCUGAUUAGGUAGUUGGCGAGGUAACGGCUCACCAAGCUGAUGAUCAGUACGGGCCGUGAGAGCGGGAACCCGGAGAAGGGCACUGAGAAAAGGGCCCUAGCCCCACGGGGUGCAGCAGGCGCGAAAACUUUACAAUGCACGCAAGUGUGAUAAGGGAAUCCUAAGUGCCUAUAUUUUGAUAUAGGCUUUUUUUCAAGAGUAAAUUUCUUGGAGAAUAAGUGGUGGGCAAGACCGGUGCCAGCCGCCGCGGUAACACCGGCGCCACAAGUCGCAAUCGUGUUUAUUGGGCCUAAAGCGUCCGUAGCCUGUCUGAUUAGUCUUCUGUGAAAUUGUCGGGCUCAACCUGGCAGCGUGCAGAAGAGACCAUCAGACUCGAAACCGGGAGGGGUCAGAGGUAUUUCAUGGGGAGCGGUAAAAUGCUAUAAUCCAUGAAGGACCACCUAUGGCGAAGGCAUCUGACUAGAACGGAUUUGACGGUGAGGGACGAAAGCCAGGGGAUCAAACCGGAUUAGAUACCCGAGUAGUCCUGGCUGUAAACUCUGCGAGCUAGGCGUUGCAUAUUCCACGUGAAUGUGCAGUGUCGAAAUGAAGAUGUUUAGCUCGCCGCCUGGGAAGUACGGCCGCAAGACUGAAACUUAAAGGAAUUGGCGGGGGAGCACUACAACGAGUGGAAUGUGCGGUUUAAUCCAAUUUAACGCGGAUAAUCUCACCAGAAGCGACGGCAGGAUGAAAGUCAGGUUAAAGGCCUUACUUAACGAGCCGAGAGGUAGUGCAUGGCCGUCGUCAGCUCGUGCUGUGAAGCGUCCUCUUAAGUGAGGCAACGAGCAAGACCUGUAUCUGCAAUUGCUACUGGGUUCUUUAGAAUGACCAAGCACAUUGCAGAGACUGCCCUGGAAACAGGGAGGAAGGUGCAGGCCACGGUAGGUCUGCAUGCUCCGAAUCUUCUGGGCUACACGCGCAUUACAAUGGUAUGGACAAUGGGAUACAACUCCGAAAGGAGAAGUCAAACCUCGAAACCAUGCCUUAGUUCGGAUUGAGGGCUGUAACUCGCCCUCAUGAAGCUGGAAUUCGUAGUAAUCGGAAUUCAAAAUGUUCCGGUGAAUACGUCCCUGCUCCUUGCACACACCGCCCGUCAAACCACUCGAGCAGGACUCAGAUGAGUUUUAGUCUAUUAAUUAAAACGAAUCUAAGUUCAGUGAGAUGGGUUAAGUCGUCACAAGGUA